CUGCUCGAGCCCCAAACCACCAUCGACGCAGCCGCCACCGGCCGCCAGCGCCAGCUGUUCAGGGCAGAUCCGGCCCACACGCCACAAACCCAACACCACGAGGAGCACGUCCGCCGGCCAGCUCUAGACCCACCACGCCGUGCGUCUACCGCCGAAACGGUGCAGCCCCGCCACCACCAGCAGAUGCCGCCAAUCCAUCGCCUGGCUGCACCUGUAGGACCAGAUGUUGAACCGCCGAGCACAGCCCCCGACGACGCCGGAGACAAGGAAGACGACGGCGCGGGGGACUGCACCCGCCCCAGUAACCCCGCGGCUGGAACUUGA
rnacentral:misc_RNA from 1 species